CAAGCUGGGCUUAAAAAAGGCAGAGGAACCAGAGAUCAAGUUGCCAACAUUCAUUGAAUCAUGGAAGAAGCAAAGGAACUCCAGGAAAACAUCCAUUUCUGUUUCACUGACUACACUAAAUACUUUGAUUGUGUGGAUCAAACAAACUGGAACAUUCUUAAAGAGACGGAAAUA